ensembl:lncRNA
CAUGCCUUUCACUUAUAAAACUUUAGGGUUAUGUUUAGCACGUUGAGCAGUAGCAUGUUAUUGGUAUCAUAUUUUUUUUUUUUUUUUUUAAAUGCAUUAUUAGUAUUAAUAUUAGAUUUCCAUAAAUGUUUAUUUUGGUCUGAUACAGCUAAUAGUCAUGUGAUGCUAUGAAACUUUUCGUCUAGAGUGGAAAAAGGAUGGGGUUUCAAGUUUUGACUUACAUUUGGACAUCUACGCAUCUUUAAUAUGAGACUUUUCUAUGUUCUUCUACUUUUGAGCUUUGUUUGCUCUCAGGUCACCAGCUCUGAUGCUGGGACAUGUGAGACAGGUUAUUGCAAUGGAAACAUUUACAUUCCUAUCAUCGUAAUUCUCUGUAAUGCAUUACUGCUUUCUUUCGCUGUAAAUAUCUACUUUAUUUGCAUGACAAGAUACAGAGACUCGUGCCAGAACUUUUACAAUAAUUAUAUUGCUGUUUGGUGUAGUGGAACCGCAACUGAGGCUGAGCAAUCAGAUGACCUGGUUCCAAAUGACACACAAUACUCUUCCAGUGAGAAAAGGGAGUGUGAGGAACAGUCAGAAGUGAAACCCAUUGAGUGUGUGUACUCUGCUGUGAAACGUUAAAAAAAGAGGAGACCUCAUCAUAAACAUAUGCUAAAAUUGGUGAUAUAUUCUGCUUUUUUCCCCCUCUCUCUCUCUCUCAAUUUUCAUUAAGUCUAUCUGUAAUGUAUAGUUUUAUAAUAAACAGAUUAAACUUUUUUGGUUUCCAGAUAUAUAUAAUAUAUGUGGUUACUUACAUGAGAAGUAUGUACUUCAAAGAAACUGGUUGAUGUCAAAAGUACAAAACAUAGCAUUUUUUUUUUUCAACUUUUGUGUGAAGUAAUCUUUGAUGUGAUGUAGGUUUGUUUUCUUGUGUGUUGAUCUUUUUUUAUGUGCAUCUGAAAAUUUGAAUUCAUCUAGGCCAACGCAAAGUUUAAUGUAUUAAUGAUGUUCAUAUUAAUUUGCAAUUAAACAGGUCUAUUCAAAGCUGUUUAAACUUAAAUGUUAUGUGUUCUUACUGAAAUGAUCAUGUUUUUGUACUGGUAGGGGUAACAAAAUAAAUCGGGGGUCAUCAAACUUGGUCCUGGAGGGCUGGUGUCCUGCAGAGUUUAGCUCCAACUUUCCUCAACACACCAGCCUGGAAGUUUCUAGUGUACCUUGUAAGA